UACGGAGGGGGUAAGCGUUGUUCGGAAUUACUGGGCGUAAAGGGCUCGUAGGCGGCCAACUAAGUCAGACGUGAAAUCCCUCAGCUUAACUGGGGAACUGCGGCUGAUACUGGAUGGCUUGGAUUCGGGAGAGGAAUGCGGAAUUCCAGGUGUAGCGGUGAAAUGCGUAGAUAUCUGGAGGAACACCGGUGGCGAAGGCGGCAUUCUGGACCGAUAUUGACGCUGAGGAGCGAAAGCCAGGGGAGCAAACGGG
rnacentral:rRNA from 1 species